rnacentral:rRNA from 1 species
UUUUAUGAGAGUUUGAUCCUGGCUCAGGACGAACGCUGGCGGCGUGCCUAAUACAUGCAAGUCGUACGCUUCUUUUUCCACCGGAGCUUGCUCCACCGGAAAAAGAGGAGUGGCGAACGGGUGAGUAACACGUGGGUAACCUGCCCAUCAGAAGGGGAUAACACUUGGAAACAGGUGCUAAUACCGUAUAACAAUCGAAACCGCAUGGUUUUGAUUUGAAAGGCGCUUUCGGGUGUCACUGAUGGAUGGACCCGCGGUGCAUUAGCUAGUUGGUGAGGUAACGGCUCACCAAGGCCACGAUGCAUAGUCGACCUGAGAGGGUGAUCGGCCACAUUGGGACUGAGACACGGCCCAAACUCCUACGGGAGGCAGCAGUAGGGAAUCUUCGGCAAUGGACGAAAGUCUGACCGAGCAACGCCGCGUGAGUGAAGAAGGUUUUCGGAUCGUAAAACUCUGUUGUUAGAGAAGAA